AGUGAAGACCAGAGACCUGAUCACGUCCAUCACUGCUGCAGCUGUUGUUCUUGUUCUCUUCUUCAUCACUGCCACUGGAUUUAUCAUUUACAAAAAGAAGAAAGCCAAAUGCCCUCCAUCUGCUCCUGACAGCAGCUCUGAACUCUCUGAGAAGCUGAAUCCAAGUGUGUCUGACCAACAUGUGAAACAGUGAAACUUUGACACUCGUCACAUUAUAUAUCUUUACAGAAGCAAAAGAGACUGAAAAGUGGUUUCCUUCAACAAUGAAGCAGAUAUAUUACUAUACUUUAGUAUCAUAGGUAUAAUUUGUGCUUGAUAUUUCAAAGUUGGAUUGUUUUAUUUCUCAUCACAAAUGUAUAAUUUACCAUAUAAAUCUGAUUUAGUUUGAUUAUUUUAAAUGAACUUCUAUUCUAUUUUUUAAAAUUUGAUACAAAAAUGUGCCCAAGUUUCCUGAUUCACAUUCACUUU